UUUAAUUGGAGACUUUGGUGCAAUGAUAAAUUUCUCCCUUUCAAGUUUGAGUAUUUAAGUUUGGGUUGUGGAAAUGACCUCUUUGCCAAAAUGCCUUGUAUAGGAGUAGAUGGCCUUGUAUAGAUCCUAUCAAAAUGAGGAGUCUUGGAGACUGAAGAUGCCCUUGUUAAUUGGGCUGACCUUGGGCUUGAGUUCAGACAAAUGCAUUUGAGUUGAACUCAGGCUCACUUGAACUAAAUGGUUCUAGCCAUAUUGAUGACCAAGUUGCUCCAAAACCCAAUUGAGUGGAAUUGUAGAGUGUAUUUAUUGGGAAUUUGUGAAGCUAUCAACAAUCAUUUUGAACUUAUGCAAAGCCUGAUAUCAGGAAUUAAAUUCUAGGAUUUGUGAUAUUGGGGGAAAAUGAAUAUAAUUUUUGUCAAUUGAUUAAGGUUUAAAUAAGCUGAAAAAAUAUCUGAAGUCAAAAAGUAGUUCCAAAUGUUGGAAAAAGGAGAAAAAAAACCCUGGGGGUGGGGUGUCAUGGGCGAUUGGAAUGUUCCAGAUAGUCAUGUAAAUAAAUGGUUUGUGGGAGUAUGGAAUGUUGUAAAUGGUUGCUAGGAUGCCUUUUCAGGAUUUUAAAAUUGCUGGGAAGCUUAUAUAUGCUGGAACUUCUCUUAGGUGAGGAAUGACUCAAAUCUAAUUCUGGCUCUCCUAAUAAAUGCUUGAUAGAGGAGAGAAGAAUAAAAAACUCAACAUUUGUUUGUCAUUGAGGUUAUACUUACUUCCUCAGUUUAAAAAAA
rnacentral:lncRNA from 1 species